GAUGAACGCUAGCGGGAGGCUUAACACAUGCAAGCCGAGGGGUAUAUUUCUUUCGGGAGAUAGAGACCGGCGCACGGGUGCGUAACGCGUAUGCAACUUGCCCUACUGAAAAGGAUAGCCCUUCGAAAGGAGGAUUAAUACUUUAUAAUAGAAAUCGUGGCAUCAUGAAUUUUUGAAAGAUUUAUCGCAGUAGGAUAGGCAUGCGUAAGAUUAGUUAGUUGGUGAGGUAACGGCUCACCAAGACGAUGAUCUUUAGGGGGCCUGAGAGGGUGAACCCCCACCCUGGUACUGAGACACGGACCAGACUCCUACGGGAGGCAGCAGUGAGGAAUAUUGGACAAUGGGUGGAAGCCUGAUCCAGCCAUCCCGCGUGUAGGAUGACGGCCUUAUGGGUUGUAAACUACUUUUAUCUGGGGAUAAACCUACUCACGUGUGAGUAGCUGAAGGUACCAGAAGAAUAAGCACCGGCUAACUCCGUGCCAGCCGCCGCCGUAAGAC
rnacentral:rRNA from 1 species